rnacentral:rRNA from 1 species
AUUGAACGCUGGCGGCAUGCCUUACACAUGCAAGUCGAACGGCAGCACGGGGGCAACCCUGGUGGCGAGUGGCGAACGGGUGAGUAACACAUCGGAACGUGCCCAGUAGUGGGGGAUAGCCCGGCGAAAGCCGGAUUAAUACCGCAUACGACCUACGGGUGAAAGCGGGGGACCGCAAGGCCUCGCGCCAUUGGAGCGGCCGAUGUCAGAUUAGGUUGUUGGUGGGGUAAAGGCCUACCAAGCCGACGAUCUGUAGCUGGGCUGAGAGGACGACCAGCCACACUGGGACUGAGACACGGCCCAGACUCCUACGGGAGGCAGCAGUGGGGAAUUUUGGACAAUGGGCGCAAGCCUGAUCCAACCAUGCCGCGUGCGGGAAGAAGGCCUUCGGGUUGUAAACCGCUUUUGUCAGGGAAGAAAUCUUCCGGGUUAAUACCUCGGGAGGAUGACGGUACCUGAAGAAUAAGCACCGGCUAACUACGUGCCAGCCGCCGCCGUAAGAC